rnacentral:rRNA from 1 species
AUUGAACGCUGGCGGCAGGCCUAACACAUGCAAGUCGAGCGAGCGGCGGACGGGUGAGUAAUGUCUGGGGAACUGCCUGAUGGAGGGGGAUAACUACUGGAAACGGUAGCUAAUACCGCAUACAGUCGGAGGAGCCCAGAUGGGAUUAGCUAGUGGGUUGGGUAAUGGCUUACCUAGGCGACGAUCCCUAGCUGGUCUGAGAGGAUGAUCAGCCACACUGGGACUGAGACACGGUCCAGACUCCUACGGGAGGCAGCAGUGGGGAAUAUUGCACAAUGGGCGCAAGCCUGAUGCAGCCAUGCCGCGUGUGUGAAGAAGGCCCUCGGGUUGUAAAGUACUUUCAGUCGGGAGGCGUUACCGACAGAAGAAGCACCGGCUAACUCCGUGCCAGCAGCCGCGGUAAUAC